rnacentral:rRNA from 1 species
UAGGACGGGGAUAAACCCGGGAAACUGGGUAUAAUACCCGAUAGGUCUCGAUUGCUGGAAUGCAUCGAGAUUUAAAGCUCCGGCGCCUAAGGAUGGGUCUGCGGCCUAUCAGGUAGUAGUGGGUGUAGCGUACCUACUAGCCUACGACGGGUACGGGUUGUGAGAGCAAGAGCCCGGAGAUGGAUUCUGAGACACGAAUCCAGGCCCUACGGGGUGCAGCAGGCGCGAAAACUUUACAAUGCUGGCAACAGCGAUAAGGGAACCUCGAGUGCCAGGUUACAAAUCUGGCUGUCGAGAUGCCUAAAAAGCAUUUCAUAGCAAGGGCCGGGCAAGACCGGUGCCAGCCGCCGCGGUAACACCGGCGGCUCGAGUGGUAACCGUUAUUAUUGGGUCUAAAGGGUCUGUAGCCGGCCGGAUAAGUCUCUUGAGAAAUCUGGCAGCUUA